rnacentral:lncRNA from 1 species
AAUACUAUAGAAGGGUAAUACGUCCAACUCCCACAGAAAACUGGCAGCACGUUGCCACUAGCGCCACUAUCGGCUUGGAUUGUAACUACAUUUUGACAAAGUCAAAUUUGUUGUAAACAUUCAAAUUUUAUUAAUUUUUGGAUAACGAGCUAAUUUUUCUAAAUUGUGUUUGUACUUUUACACAAAAAUGUCUUGCAAAAUGAGUGUGGUGUGUGCUAUGUACGGUUGUAACAAUUAUAAACAGCAAAAAGAGUACAAAUCAUUUUUUAGAAUGCCAAAAGAUAAAAAUUUAUAUGACAAACAUCUAGAAGAUGGAAUCCUGCGUUCUUAAAGAAAAAAGCUAGUUCCAGAAGUAAGCUACCAAUAAUAAACUAGAGAAUGUAUUACAAGAAAGCUAAUACUCAACAUAGCUCAAUUGCUUCAGAUAGAAACACAAAAAUGUAAAGGAAAGGGUACAACACAACUGUGCCAGAGAAAAUGAAAGGGCAGAAGAGAGACACAAAAUUCAUUGAUUUAUUAAAUUUAAAAAUUGAAUUAUACAAAGGUCAAUUAAAUAAAGAAUAAAAAAAUGAUA